UUUAUCGCUUUUGGAGGGGGGUGCGUCCUAUCAGGUAGUUGGUGUGGUAAUAGCUCACCAAGCCUAUGACGGGGUAGCCGGUCUGAGAGGAUGUCCGGCCGCNAUGGAACUGAGACACGGUCCAUACUCCUACGGGAGGCAGCAGUGGGGAAUCUUGCGCAAUGGGGCGAAAGCCUGACGCAGCAAUCCCGCGUGAAGGAUGAAGCAUUAUGGUGUGUAAACUUCUUUUCUGGUGGAAGACGAAUGACGGUACACCAGGAAUAAGGGACGGCUGACUACGUGCCAGCAGCCGCGGUAAUACGUAGGUCCCAAGUGUUAUCCGGAAUUACUGGGCGUAAAGAGUCUGUAGCCGGGUUUGUAAGUCUGUUUUCAAAUCCUAUGGCUUAACCAUAGAGAGGGAAUGGAUACUGCAAACCCUGAGAUUAUUGGGGGUUGAUGGAAUUUCCGGUGGAGCGGUGAAAUGCGUUGAUAUCGGAAGGAACGCCAAAAGUGAAAGCAGUCAACUACAAUAAAUCUGACGGUCAGAGACGAAAGCUUGGGGAGCAAACGGGAUUAGAUACCCCGGUAGUCCACGCCGUAAAUUAUGCAUGCUAGGUGUCUUGUUCACUUUAUGUG
rnacentral:rRNA from 1 species